GGUUAUAGAUCAGUUGGUAGAGUGCUUGCCUUACAUGUGUAAGGCCCUGGGUUCGAUCCCCAGCAUCA
rnacentral:tRNA from 1 species